UACGGAGGGAGCUAGCGUUGUUCGGAAUUACUGGGCGUAAAGCGCACGUAGGCGGCUUUGUAAGUUAGAGGUGAAAGCCCGGGGCUCAACCCCGGAAUUGCCUUUAAGAUUGCAUCGCUUGAAUCCGGGAGAGGUGAGUGGAAUUCCGAGUGUAGAGGUGAAAUUCGUAGAUAUUCGGAAGAACACCAGUGGCGAAGGCGGCUCACUGGACCGGUAUUGACGCUGAGGUGCGAAAGCGUGGGGAGCAAACAGG
rnacentral:rRNA from 1 species